GGAUUGGGAGGGUUCUACGGAACCCGUUUGGUGAAUCUAGUGCCGAGAAAAGCCUUCUAUGUGUUGAAUUUCUAGUACCCGUACCCCAAACCGACACAGGUGGGUGGGUAGAGCAUACCUAGGGGCGCGUGAUAACUCUCUCUAAGGAACUCGGCAAAAUGGCCCUGUAACUUCGGGAUAAGGGGUGCCUGCGUGAGCAGGCCGCAGUGAAAUGGCUCUGGCGACUGUUUACCAAAAACACAGGUCUCUGCUAAGUCGUAAGACGAUGUAUAGGGGCUGACUCCUGCCCAGUGCCGGAAGGUUAAGGAAGUUGGUUAGCGCAAGCGAAGCUGGCGACCGAAGCCCCGGUGAACGGCGGCCGUAACAAUAACGGUCCUAAGGUAGCGAAAUUCCUUGUCGGGUAAGUUCCGACCCGCACGAAAGGAGUAACGAUCAGAGCGCUGUCUCGGAGAGAGACACGGCGAAAUAGGAUUGUCCGUGAAGAUACGGACUACCUGCACCCGGACAGAAAGACCCUAUGAAGCUUUACUGUAACUUGGAAUUGUGUUCGGACUUUGUCUGCGCAGAAUAGGUGGGAGGCUAUGAAACGUUCCUCGCGGGGAACUGGAGCCAUCGUUGAGAUACCACUCUGGCAGAGUCUGGAUUCUAACCUACGGGGACAGUUCCAGGUGGGCAGUUUGACUGGGGCGGUCGCCUCCUAAAAUGUAACGGAGGCGCGCAAAGGUUCCCUCAGGCUGGUUGGAAAUCAGCCAUAGAGUGUAAAAGCAUAAGGGAGCUUGACUGUGAGACCUACAAGUCGAGCAGGGACGAAAGUCGGCUUUAGUGAUCCGACGGCACUGAGUGGAAGGGCCGUCGCUCAACGGAUAAAAGUUACUCUAGGAUAACAGGCUGAUCUCCCCCAAGAGUUCACAUCGACGGGGAGGUUUGGCACCUCGAUGUCGGCUCGUCGCAACCUGGGGCGGUAGUACGUCCCAAGGGUUGGGCUGUUCGCCCAUUAAAGCGGCACGUGAGCUGGGUUCAGAACGUCGUGAGACAGUUCGGUCCAUAUCCGGUGUAGGCGUAGGAGCAUUGAAAGGAUCUCUCCUUAGUACGAGAGGACCGGGAGGGACGUACCUCUGGUGUACCUGUUAUCGUGCCAACGGUAAACGCAGGGUAGCCAUGUACGGAGUGGAUAACCGCUGAAGGCAUCUAAGUGGGAAGCCCACCUUAAGAUGGGUGCUCCCUUGAGGCCACGGGAAGACGACCCGUUUGAUAGGCGCUAGGUGGAAGUGCAGUAAUGCAUGCAGCCGAGGCGUACUAAUAGGCCGAUGGCUUGUUC
rnacentral:rRNA from 1 species